AGAGUUUGAUCCUGGCUCAGGACGAACGCUGGCGGCGUGCUUAACACAUGCAAGUCGAACGAUGAAGCGGUGCUUGCACCGUGGAUUAGUGGCGAACGGGUGAGUAAUACGUGAGUGACCUACCUUUGACUCUGGGAUAAGCCUGGGAAACUGGGUCUAAUACCGGAUACGACCAAUCUCUGCAUGGGGUGUUGGUGGAAAGCGUUAUGGAGUGGUUUUAGAUGGGCUCACGGCCUAUCAGCUUGUUGGUGAGGUAAUGGCUUACCAAGGCGACGACGGGUAGCCGGCCUGAGAGGGUGACCGGCCACACUGGGACUGAGACACGGCCCAGACUCCUACGGGAGGCAGCAGUGGGGAAUAUUGCACAAUGGGCGCAAGCCUGAUGCAGCGACGCCGCGUGAGGGAUGACGGCCUUCGGGUUGUAAACCUCUGUUAGCAUCGAAGAAGCGAAAGUGACGGUAGGUGCAGAGAAAGCGCCGGCUAACUACGUGCCAGCAGCCGCGGUAAUACGUAGGGCGCGAGCGUUGUCCGGAAUUAUUGGGCGUAAAGAGCUUGUAGGCGGUUGGUCGCGUCUGCUGUGAAAGGCCGGGGCUUAACUCCGGUUUUGCAGUGGGUACGGGCUAACUAGAGUGCAGUAGGGGAGACUGGAAUUCCUGGUGUAGCGGUGAAAUGCGUAGA
rnacentral:rRNA from 1 species